rnacentral:rRNA from 1 species
UACGUAGGGGGCAAGCGUUGUCCGGAUUUAUUGGGCGUAAAGAGCGUGUAGGCGGCCAGACAGGUCCGUUGUGAAAACUAGAGGCUUAACCUCUAGACGUCGAUGGAAACCGUCUGGCUAGAGUCCGGAAGAGGAGAAUGGAAUUCCUGGGUGUAGCGGUGAAAUGCGCAGAUAUCAGGAAGAACACCCGUGGCUAAGGCGGUUCUCUAGUACGGUACUGACGCUGAGACGCGAAAGCGUGGGGAGCGAACAGG